GGAGAAUUGUCCGAGUGGCUGAAGGAGCACGAUUGGAAAUCGUGUAAACGGCCAACGCCGUUUCAAGGGUUCAAAUCCCUUAUUCUCCG
rfam:Atopostipes suicloacalis DSM 15692 genome assembly, contig: EJ15DRAFT_scaffold00040.40